rnacentral:rRNA from 1 species
AGCAGCCGCGGUAAUUCCAGCUCCAAUAGCGUAUAUUAAAGUUGUUGCAGUUAAAAAGCUCGUAGUUGAAUUUCGGGAUCAAUAUGUUGGUCGUGCCUCGGUACGUACUAGCUUAUUGGUUUCUCCUUUCUGAAGAACCAUGAUGUCAUUUAUUUGGUGUCGUGGGGAAUCAGGACUGUUACUUUGAAAAAUUAGAGUGUUUAAAGCAGGCUCACGCUUGAAUACAUUAGCAUGGAAUAAUGAAAUAGGACGUUUGAUUCUAUUUUGUUGGUUUCUAGGAUCGACGCAAUGAUUAAUAGGGAUAGUUGGGGGCAUUAGUAUUCAAUUGUCAGAGGUGAAAUUCUUGGAUUUAUUGAAGACUAACUACUGCGAAAGCAUUUGCCAAGGAUGUUUUCAUUAAUCAAGAACGAAAGUUAGGGGAUCGAAGACGAUCAGAUACCGUCGUAGUCUUAACCAUAAACUAUGCCGACUAGGGAUCGGAUGAUGUUAAUUUUUAAUGACUCAUUCGGCGCCUU